rnacentral:rRNA from 1 species
UACGGAGGAUCCGAGCGUUAUCCGGAUUUAUUGGGUUUAAAGGGUGCGUAGGUGGAUUGGUAAGUCAGUGGUGAAAGUUUGCAGCUUAACUGUAAAAUUGCCGUUGAAACUGCCGAUCUUGAGUGCAAAUGAGGUAGGCGGAAUGCGUCGUGUAGCGGUGAAAUGCUUAGAUAUGACGCAGAACUCCGAUUGCGAAGGCAGCUUACUGGGAUGCAACUGACGCUGAGGCACGAAAGCGUGGGUAUCAAACAGGAUUAGAUA